rnacentral:piRNA from 1 species
GUGAAUGAAUGGAAUGCUUACUAAA